rnacentral:rRNA from 1 species
AUUGAACGCUGGCGGCAGGCCUAACACAUGCAAGUCGAGCGGAUGAGAGGAGCUUGCUUCUCGAUUCAGCGGCGGACGGGUGAGUAAUGCCUAGGAAUCUGCCUGGUAGUGGGGGACAACGUUUCGAAAGGAACGCUAAUACCGCAUACGUCCUACGGGAGAAAGCAGGGGACCUUCGGGCCUUGCGCUAUCAGAUGAGCCUAGGUCGGAUUAGCUAGUUGGUGAGGUAAUGGCUCACCAAGGCGACGAUCCGUAACUGGUCUGAGAGGAUGAUCAGUCACACUGGAACUGAGACACGGUCCAGACUCCGACGGGAGGCAGCAGUGGGGAAUAUUGGACAAUGGGCGAAAGCCUGAUCCAGCCAUGCCGCGUGUGUGAAGAAGGUCUUCGGAUUGUAAAGCACUUUAAGUUGGGAGGAAGGGUUGUAGAUCAAUACUCUGCAAUUUUGACGUUACCGACAGAAUAAGCACCGGCUAACUCUGUGCCAGCAGCCGCCGUAAGAC